AUUGAACGCUGGCGGAAUGCUUUACACAUGCAAGUCGAACGGCAGCACGGACUUCGGUCUGGUGGCGAGUGGCGAACGGGUGAGUAUCAUAUCGGAACGUAUCCAAUAAUGGGGGAUAACUAAUCGAAAGGUUGGCUAAUACCGCAUACGCCCUACGGGGGAAAGCUAGGGACCUUCGGGCCUGGCGUUAAUGGAGCGGCCGAUAUCUGAUUAGCUAGUUGGUGGGGUAAAGGCCCACCAAGGCGACGAUCAGUAGCUGGUCUGAGAGGACGACCAGCCACACUGGGACUGAGACACGGUCCAGACUCCUACGGGAGGCAGCAGUGGGGAAUUUUGGACAAUGGGCGCAAGCCUGAUCCAGCCAUUCCGCGUGAGUGAAGAAGGCCUUCGGGUUGUAAAGCUCUUUCGCAAGGGAAGAAAACUUAUCCUCUAACAUAGGGUGAGGUUGACGGUACCUUGAUAAGAAGCACCGGCUAACUACGUGCCAGCAGCCGCAGUAACAC
rnacentral:rRNA from 1 species